rnacentral:rRNA from 1 species
GAACGAGAAAGUGGAGCAAUCCAUGAGUAAAGUGGCGACCGGGUGAGUAACACGUGACUAACCUGCCCUUGAGUGGGGGAUAACCUCGGGAAACCGGGGCUAAUACCGCAUAACAUCGCAAGAUCAAAGGAGCAAUCCGCUGAAGGAGGGGGUCGCGGCUGAUUAGUUAGUUGGUGAGGUAACGGCUCACCAAGACGAAGAUCAGUAGCCGGCCUGAGAGGGCGCACGGCCACACUGGAACUGAAACACGGUCCAGACUCCUACGGGAGGCAGCAGUGGGGAAUUUUGCGCAAUGGGGGAAACCCUGACGCAGCAACGCCGCGUGGAGGAUGAAGUCCCUUGGGAUGUAAACUCCUUUCGAUCGGGACGAUUAUGACGGUAUCGGAAGAAGAAGCACCGGCUAACUUUGUGCCAGCAGCCGCGGUAAU